rnacentral:lncRNA from 1 species
UCGGCCCCCUAACCUUCAAUUUCAAGGGCAAUAUGAAAAGCGGGAAUUUUCUUGUCUUUUUCUUUUCUCUUUUUCGGCCGCCUAACACUUUAUUCGGCCGCCGAACUUUAUGAAGUUUCGGCCGCCGAAGUUUAAGUUCGGCCUCCUAAACUUGCCCAGUUUCGGCCGCCGAGGAUUAGUUCGGCCGCCGAAGAUUAGUUCGGCCGCCGAAACUGCGCGUUCCUUAAAAACCCCCGCGACAGCUCAUCGUCUUCCUCGCGCGACUCUCUCUCUCCCCCGAAGCUUUCUCUCUCUCCCCGAAGCUCCCUUCGUUCUCCCUCGCAAAACUUGCUGUUUCUGAGC